rnacentral:tRNA from 1 species
GCCGGAGUAGCUCAGCUGGUCAGAGCAGCGGAAUCAUAAUCCGCGUGUCGGGGGUUCAAGUCCCUCCUCCGGCA